ACCGGCAGCUCAAGUGGUGGCCAUUAUUAUUGGGCCUAAAGCGUUCGUAGCCGGUUUGAUAAGUCUCUGGUGAAAUCCCGCAGCUUAACUGUGGGACUUGCUGGAGAUACUAUCAGACUUGAGGUGGGGAGAGGUUAGGGGUACUCCCAGGGUAGCGGUGAAAUGCUAUAAUCCUGGGAGGAACACCUGUGGCGAAGGCGGCUAACUGGAACGAACCUGACGGUGAGUGACGAAAGCCAGGGGAGCGAACAG
rnacentral:rRNA from 1 species